GCACCGGUAGUGAAUGGUACACACCCGCCGAAAGAAUGUGUAGAAUGUUUCGAUAUUUCGAUGGUGGAGUGGGGUUCGAUUCCCCGUCGGUGCA